GAUGAAGAACGUAGCGAAAUGCGAUAAGUAAUGUGAAUUGCAGAAUUCAGUGAAUCAUCGAAUCUUUGAACGCACAUUGCGCCCGCCAGUAUUCUGGCGGGCAUGCCUGUUCGAGCGUCAUUUCAACCAUCAAGCCCCCGGCUUGUGUUGGGGACCUGCGGCUGCCGCAGGCCCUGAAAAGCAGUGGCGGGCUCGCUGUCACACCGAGCGUAGUAGCAUACAUCUCGCUCUGGGCGUGCUGCGGGUUCCGGCCGUUAAACCACCUUCAUAACCCAAGGUUGACCUCGGAUCAGGUAGGAAGACCCGCUGAACUUAAGCAUAUCAAUAAGCGGAAGA
rnacentral:misc_RNA from 1 species